GAUGAAGAACGUAGCGAAAUGCGAUACUUGGUGUGAAUUGCAGAAUCCCGUGAACCAUCGAGUCUUUGAACGCAAGUUGCGCCCGAAGCCAUUAGGCCGAGGGCACGCCUGCCUGGGCGUCACACGUCGUUGCCCCCCCCAUCUACUCCUUCGGGAUUGCGGGGGGCGGAUGAUGGCCUCCCGUGCGCCUCGCCGCGCGGUUGGCAUAAAUGCCAAGUCCUCGGCGACGCACGCCACGACAAUCGGUGGUUGCGAAACCUCGGUUGCCCGUCGUGUGCGGUCGUCGCGCAUCGAGGGCUCGAAAAAAUUGCCGGGUUUCGGUUCGGCUUUCAACGCGACCCCAGGUCAGGCGGGGUUACCCGCUGAAUUUAAGCAUAUCAAUAAGCGGAGGA
rnacentral:misc_RNA from 1 species